UGUCCACUGGAGACAAGAGUGCUUGAAAAUAGAAACCUGAAGAGAAAAAUGCGAGCUGAUGUAGUUUCUGUAGGAGCUUAAGGAGGUCACUGUCAAGUAUACCCCAGAUAUUUGUGAGGUCUGGGCUGAAACUGCAGAGCUGGAACGGAGGAUCCUUUCUGCAUGCUGCAGCGUCCCUAAGCACACUCUGGGCAGCCAAGAAGGAGACCUGGCCAUUCCCUGAGACAUCUCUGCAGGGGCUGAUAAGCAGUACUCCAGGCACGCAGGAGACACGGACCCUGGCUCCGGCUCUUCAUUUUGGGGGAGCCAAGACCAGCAGAGCAGCUGUUAUAGGGUCACCAUUAAUACAUUACUCAAGAGAUUUAAUUGCCUGACACCAAGAAAACCUGUCUGUCAUGCUGUGCAGGUGUAUAUCUGGAAUGACUAGAUUGCUGAGGAGAUUUUCAGCAGAUGGAGACAGUGCAAGUCUUCCCCGAGGGGAGUCAGAUGAAUAUUCUUCCUCAGCACAGUCACCUGCUGCAAAACCUCAAGAGG